UACGUAGGGGGCAAGCGUUGUCCGGAUUUAUUGGGCGUAAAGAGCGUGUAGGCGGCCAGACAGGUCCGUUGUGAAAACUCGAGGCUCAACCUCGAGACGCCGAUGGAAACCGUCUGGCUAGAGUCCGGAAGAGGAGAGUGGAAUUCCUGGUGGUAGCGGUGAAAAUGCGCAGAUAUCAGGAAGAACACCCGUGGCUAAGGCGGCUCUCUAGUACGGUACUGACGCUGAGACGCGAAAGCGUGGGGAGCGAACAGGG
rnacentral:rRNA from 1 species